GGGCCAGAGCAGGGACUCCUCUCACAGGUCUGUGUUUGCAGAAACUGAUCUCACUUGGGACCUGUGCACAGCCCGACCUUCUCUAGGGACAGGGCAGCCCCGGGGCAAUGAAAAGGGGCUAUGUGGAGGGUGCAAUCUAUGGAAGAGAACGCCAGGGACCCAGCUACACAGAGCUCAUCUCCCCUGCAAUUAUCCUCAGCAAUGAGCAAUAGAAAUGGCUCAGAACCUCCCUGGGCUCCAUGCAGAGAGUGUCUGGGUCCUGGCAGGAAAUACGCCCGCGAGCUCCUUGGCAGUAGCACUUUGCCGAAACCACCCUGAGGUCUCGGGCCAGGCGUGAAGCUGACACAAAGUAGACUUGCAGUGCGUGUUCAUUUGUUGAAUGCUAAGAAAAGAGUGGAUGGCCGGAUGGAUGAAUACAGGAGUGAGUGGAAUACAAAGCUCUGCUAGCAUUCCUUCCCCCACCCACCAGUCCAUUCUGCAAAACAGAGUCCACCCUCUCUGUGGAUCCGAAAUGCACAUGGAACCUCAUUUCCACA